AUGUCGCUGCCGACGCCGAUGCCCGCCAGCGACGACAGGUUGGAUCUGGACGGCGUGCUCGUAGCGCCUCUCACCAUCUGCAUGAGCGGGGCGGUGGAUUCAUCUGCUCCCACCUCUGCGAGCACCUCAUGGCCGAGACCCCGGACUCUGUCCUCGCCGUCCACGUCUACUGCUAGAAGAUCCGCCGCCUCGUCGACCUACCCCCGCCCCACCUCGCCCGCUGCAGCAACUUCCACCUCCUCAACGUCAAGAACAACUCCGGCCUGGAGGGCCUCAUCAAGAUGGUCGAUCUGGUGCGCCCCUCCCCACCUCCCCUCCUUCCCCGCUCGCUUUUGUCCUCUAAUGGCGGAUUGGAUUUGGUCGCCGCGGCUGCGGCGGCGAGACUGCCCAUCUUUCAAUUCCGUGGCACUACUGCAUAUCCUGCCGCCACCGCUCGUUCCACCGGUGCUUCAGAGUGCUGCUGCUGCUGCUGCAAUUCAGAAACUAAGUCAGGCAAAACUAGUGGCUGAGCUUAUAGCACGAGAAAUUGUUAUAAAUGAUGCUGAUCAAUCUGUACGGCAUAAGCUCACGAAAAGGCAAACACAAAACGAGAUAGCAGGGAGGCUGUCCAAGCUAGAAAAUAAAGGAUGGAGGCCAAGGCGAACAAUCAUCGUCUGCAGUUGGGAUGCAGAAGAGUUUGCGCUGGUACCCGAUCCUGAUGAUUCGUCUCAUACCUUGUAUGACUACAUGGCACAAAUGAGCGAUCAUGAGAGCUUCAUUUGA
rnacentral:rRNA from 1 species